rnacentral:rRNA from 1 species
UACGUAGGCAGCGAGCGUUGUUCGGAAUUACUGGGCGUAAAGGGUGUGUAGGCGGUUGUUUAAGUUUGGUGUGAAAUCUCCCGGCUCAACUGGGAGGGUGCGCCGAAUACUGAAUGACUUGGAGUGCGGGAGAGGAAAGUGGAAUUCCUGGUGUAGCGGUGAAAUGCGUAGAUAUCUGGAGGAACACCGGUGGCGAAGGCGGCAUCCUGGACCGGCAUUGACGCUGAGGCGCGAAAGCUAGGGGAGCAAACGGG